rnacentral:rRNA from 1 species
GUCCACGCCGUAAAACGAUGUCGAUUUGGAGGCUGUGUCCUUGAGACGUGGCUUCCGGAGCUAACGCGUUAAAUCGACCGCCUGGGGAGUACGGCCGCAAGGUUAAAACUCAAAUGAAUUGACGGGGGCCCGCACAAGCGGUGGAGCAUGUGGUUUUAAUUCGAUGCAACGCGAAGAACCUUACCUGGCCUUGACAUGUCUGGAAUCCUGUAGAGAUACGGGAGUGCCUUCGGGAAUCAGAACACAGGUGCUGCAUGGCUGUCAU